UAGGGAAUCUUCGGCAAUGGGGGGAACCCUGACCGAGCAACGCCGCGUGAGUGAAGAAGGUUUUCGGAUCGUAAAGCUCUGUUGUUAAGGAAGAACGAGUGUGAGAAUGGAAAGUUCAUACUGUGACGGUACUUAACCAGAAAGGGACGGCUAACUACGUGCCAGCCGCCGCGGUAAUACGUAGGUCCCGAGCGUUGUCCGGAUUUAUUGGGCGUAAAGCGAGCGCAGGCGGUUAGAUAAGUCUGAAGUUAAAGGCAGUGGCUCAACCAUUGUAGGCUUUGGAAACUGUUUAACUUGAGUGCAGAAGGGGAGAGUGGAAUUCCAUGUGUAGCGGUGAAAUGCGUAGAUAUAUGGAGGAACACCGGUGGCGAAAGCGGCUCUCUGGUCUGUAACUGACGCUGAGGCUCGAAAGCGUGGGGAGCGAACAGG
rnacentral:rRNA from 1 species